UGGGGAAUAUUGCACAAUGGGCGCAAGCCUGAUGCAGCGACGCCGCGUGGGGGAUGAAGGCCUUCGGGUUGUAAACCCCUUUCAGCAGGGAAGAAGCGAAAGUGACGGUACCUGCAGAAGAAGCGCCGGCUAACUACGUGCCAGCAGCCGCGGUAAUACGUAGGGCGCAAGCGUUGUCCGGAAUUAUUGGGCGUAAAGAGCUCGUAGGCGGUUUGUCGCGUCUGCUGUGAAAACGCGGGGCUCAACUCCGCGCCUGCAGUGGGUACGGGCAGACUAGAGUGCAGUAGGGGAGACUGGAAUUCCUGGUGUAGCGGUGGAAUGCGCAGAUAUCAGGAGGAACACCGGUGGCGAAGGCGGGUCUCUGGGCUGUAACUGACGCUGAGGAGCGAAAGCAUGGGGAGCGAACAGG
rnacentral:rRNA from 2 species